rnacentral:rRNA from 1 species
GACGAACGCUGGCGGCGUGCUUAACACAUGCAAGUCGAACGGAAAGGCCCUGCUUUUGUGGGGUGCUCGAGUGGCGAACGGGUGAGUAACACGUGAGUAACCUGCCCUUGACUUUGGGAUAACUUCAGGAAACUGGGGCUAAUACCGGAUAGGAGCUCCUGCUGCAUGGUGGGGGUUGGAAAGUUUCGGCGGUUGGGGAUGGACUCGCGGCUUAUCAGCUUGUUGGUGGGGUAGUGGCUUACCAAGGCUUUGACGGGUAGCCGGCCUGAGAGGGUAACCGGCCACAUUGGGACUGAGAUACGGCCCCGACUCCUACGGGAGGCAGCAGUGGGGAAUAUUGCACAAUGGGCGGAAGCCUGAUGCAGCAACGCCGCGUGCGGGAUGACGGCCUUCGGGUUGUAAACCGCUUUCGCCUGUGACGAAGCGUGAGUGACGGUAAUGGGUAAAGAAGCACCGGCUAACUACGUG